rnacentral:tRNA from 1 species
AGGAUAAUAGUUAAUAAUAACAUUUAAUUUGCAUUUAAAAAACAUUGAAAUUCAAUUUAUCUUA